rnacentral:rRNA from 1 species
CGACCCCAGGUCAGGCGGGGUUACCCGCUGAA